UACGUAGGCAGCAAGCGUUGUUCGGAGUUACUGGGCGUAAAGGGUGUGUAGGCGGUUGUUUAAGUUUGGUGUGAAAUCUCCCGGCUCAACUGGGAGGGUGCGCCGCAAUACUGAAUGACUUCGAGUGCGGGAGAGGAAAGUGGAAUUCCUGGUGUAGCGGUGAAAUGCGUAGAUAUCAGGAGGAACACCGGUGGUGUAGACGGCUUCUGGACCGUAGCUGACGCUGAGACACGAAAGCGUGGGUAGCAAACAGG
rnacentral:rRNA from 1 species